GAGCCAAAAAUUCAAGCCCCAAGGCUAAAAUAAAUAAAUAAAAAAGAAGCAAAAAAUUAAAUUUUUCUUACCUUGGUGACGAAGAAAACAACAGAACAUAAUUCUUUGCGCGGGCAAGUGAAGAAGAUUACUAGGGAGGGGGAACAAAUAUAGUCUAGUUUUCUCUCUUUCUUGCAAGGUUUUAGUUGCACUCCAAAUUUAUUUAAUCUUCUGCUUGAUGUAGACUUAAAUAGGUUUUGGUGGCAAUUACAUUCUCUUUCCUAGAAGAAUUUAAAUUCCAAGUCAAAGAUGGAAUCUACAUCAAAUUGGGACACAAACUCCAUUGCAGGUUUGGAUUCUUACACCUCCUGUCCUUUCCUGUGAGCAGCCCAACAGGUGUAGGGGCAUUUGUGGAGCCGAAAAAUAUCCCAAAAAUUAUGGGGUUGACACGUGGAUUAUUUCCUAAGAAAGACAUGACUACCCUUAUUAGAUGAGCAUGGAGUAUUCUCAUUCACCACAUGCAAUUAAUGACUGCUCAAGGCACCCUUGCCCAUUGAAAAAGUCAAAGGUAUUUAUGAUAGAAUAUCCUUUAUUCUUAUCAUAAAUACAUUCCUAAUCAAAGAAGACCUCUUUCAAGUAAGUAAUCCUAAUUCCAUUUAUUUAGAAUAUUUACCUAAUUACGCCAAGAUAUUUAUUUACACAAAUAUCUUGGAAUAUUCGCCCUUAAAUCCUAGAGGGCCGGCCAAUUUCCUCAUUUUCUUCUAUAAAUACCCACUUUAUCUCCAAAAUUCAAGAGGCUUUUGCUACCCGCAAAACUUCUGAACACAUUCUUUUCAGCAUUUUAACUUUGGCAUCAGAGAUUCUUUGCCCAAAGCCCCCCAUUCAUUAUGGGAGCGUGAGGCUUUUGGCCUCAAUCUUAUGUGUUAUUAUUUUGCAGGUGCAUUUUUAUCAAAGGAAGAGAUGGCAGAAAUUUGCAUCAACAAGAAGCAAGUCCAAAUCUUUGGAGAAACCAGAAUGGUCUUCACCUCUCUUGUGUUGAACCACCAAACACCACCUACACUUGUGAGUUCCUCUGACGUCACAAUACGAACUCUUAUGGCAUUUGUUGACCAAGAUCAAGUCUCAAUGACCCUUAGAUCAACCACACACACACAUCUUCAUGGAUCAAAUCAGAGGAUCUAGUGUUUUGUACUCAAAGUUUGUAACCCUGAACUCAUUAAUACAAAUUCAUUAUUUUGCACACGUGUUCUUAUUUUAUUCUUUGUAGGAAAUUUCGUGUUUACAAAAUGGUUUCUAGACUCCCAGAUUUUGUGAACAAACUAUAAGAACUUUGCAUAAGGAGGUCAAUUCUAAUAGAUAUCAACUGAAAAUGAGCAGUUCACAAGUUUUUGGAUUAGAUCAUAAUUUCCAAAUUCAGAAUUUUUUAAUUAUUUAGGAUUUUAAGAAUCAUUGUUAUCUCAUAAUUUUAAAAACAUUAUUAUGAAUUAAUAAGUUAACAAGUUUGUUAAUAUUCUCUAUUUUUUCAUAUAUGUAUUUUAUUUGUUUUUGUUACUAUUUGGUAUAUGCUUGUACAUUAAGUCCAAUUAAUUUUAUUGUACAAGAGUUGGAUAAAUAUAUGAAAAACUAUGAAUAAAAUGUAUUUGGUAGAUCAUGUCCUUAAUUUUCCAUGUGAAUCAACCAAUAGCCCCUAGUAGGUAAAUGUUGACUUUCGUUGACCCUUGUGGUCGUGACAUGUAUAAAAUAUUAUUUUAGUAUUUUCUCAUAGUAUUCAUUGUCAUGAACGCGUAAGAACAAGACCACCCCUAAAAAAUGCGCUAGGACUCAUCCCAUUUGAUCCAUUCAGUGAAUAGUGAUAGACUCUAUGAAUAGUAAAUUGGCCAAAUGCUUCUCUACCCUAAAAAAAUGCUCUAGCACAAACGAUCUCCACCUGUACAAAAUGCGCUGGCACCCAUCCCAUUUAAAAUAUUAUAUUUUACAGAAUAAUGAAUUUUAAAUUUAGUUUUAAUUUCGGAUAGGAUUUUUAACCAAUCUCGUCACGCCACGUGUCAUUAUCCAAACCUACUAUUUUGUGGAUAGAUUUCCACUAAGAAUUUUAACCAAUCCCGACGCGCCGCGUGUCACUAUCUGUUUACAAAAAAUUAGCCAAGAUUUCGAUAAGAUUUUCAACCAAUAUUGUCACGCCACGUGCAAAUGUACUAUUUUAUGGAUAGAUUUCCGAUUAGAUUUUCAACCAAUCCCGAUGCACCACAUGUCACUAUUUGUGUACAAUAAUUUAACCAAGAUUUCGAUAAGAUUUUCUAACAAUAACGUAGUGCCACGUGGCAUUGUCCAGAACGUCAUCCUUUCUUUUUUUGUCCAUAUCAACCCUAUAUCCCUACAUCCCUCAUCAUUCACACACCAAAGUCAAUCCUUCUUUUUAGCUCAGAAUCCUUCUUCAUCAUUUUUAAAUCUUGAGUUCUUACAUUGUCUUUUUCAAGAAGAUUUUCCAAACAGUUUGAAGAGCAACAGAAAAGAUUGUUGGCACAACAGGAAGAAUUGUUCAAUCUUGAGGAAGGUGGAGAUGAGGCUCGUUGGAAAUGUGCCCUAAACCUAAUCAUAUGAUGAUACUUUAUGAACAUUUCACAUGUUAAACUAAUCUAGUUUAAUAUAAAGGGCACAGAUUAUUGUUUUAAGCUGUCUCAUAUAAAUGGUAUAUGAUUAAACAAUAAGUCCAAGGAAUAUGCAAUUGGGAGAAUGUGAUCUAAAGAAGUUAGAUUCAUGAGACCAUUCUCUUUCGUAUACAUAUCCUAAACAUUCCUGAUCAUAGGAUUUCCAAUUAGGCAUUGACAGUCCGUUAAGAUUAGUACGUGUUAUGUCUUCUCUUAGGGAGAGUGACUGGUCUCGAGUCAUUGGUGCUUUGCCCGGUUAAACCAUCGGACUCGACUAAGAAAUCCAUGCCAGAGACUCCUCCUAGUAACCAUCCCUGAAAUCCAGGAGGUGUUCGACUGACACCAAGACAAGCAUGUAUGUUCUUGAUAGAGAAUAAGUCCACUGAUCGCAAUCAACAAGGAGUUCUCAUAUUCAUGUCACAUGAGAACUCAUCGUUGGGAUAAUGCAAAGUAGUCAUUUAACCUGAGGCAUCAUAGUUGUCUUGUGGUUAGGUCCUUGAUCUUUGACUAUAUCAAAGUCACUCUAUCAGAGAGCGUCCACGACAUAGUUGGGGUCAAGCCAUUUAGCCAUGGAGGCAAUUGAAUGUGCAACAAGGGAUCUCUAACCUUCAAACCGUUUGAGGGAGAAUACUCUAUGAUAUGAUUAAGAAUCUCUGGCUAGAGUAUGAAUGGGAUUUAGGAAGUCGUUCCAAAUCAUAUUCAAGGUAAUCAUAUAAGUAAGAUAAUCACAUUGGAUAGUAGACAUGAAUAAACUAUCAAACCAAACAAUGUGGUCAAGAGUAUUGCAUUAAAGAAAGACCGUAUUGCAUUGUAAUCCUAAAUUGAAUAGGUUCUCCACCUCUUCUGAUUAGCUUGGGUAGCCAUGAAAUAAUGCUAGGUGUCACUCAUGGUUUGUGGAAGCCCUAAAGGUGAGUAAUCACUAAGGGGAGAAUUGAAAGUAUGUUUCAAUUCACAAUCGAUCAUUAAGAGUAGCAAUUGCCCACUGCCUCGCUAAAAGGAACCUAAUGGAUCGUACACCGAGUAAGGUAGAGAUUGAAGAAACAACGGAGAUGAGUAAGGAUAAUUAAAUGGUUUAAUUAUUUAUGGCUAGGAUUAAUUAAUAUGUUAAUUAAUUAAACGAAUAUGUUUGUUAUAGAGCUCGGGCUAGUUUUGGGCCACAAGGCCCAAUGGGAUUUGAAUGCCAAGCCCAUUAACUCAAGUUGUAUGACAACUUGAAAACACAAAGGGCUUGAAAGCCCAAUGAACCCUUAAUGGCCGGCCAUAUAGAGAGGGAUAGUGAACUUGCUUUAAUUGCAAGUUUGCCACUCCAUUGUGAGGUGGUAUAAACGCAACUUUAUAGCCAUUUCAUCCUAAGGGUUUCUUUUGGAGAAAAGAUGAGAACACAAGCUCCCUUUUCUCUCUAAGAGGCCGGCCACCCUAGGGAGAGAUUACUAGCAUCUAUCUCUUCCUAGGUCAUUCAUCUCUUCAUCAAUGCUCUCCUUGGUGUGGAGACUUAGAGGUUCUCUAUUUUGGGAACUUGGAGAAUCCAUUCUACCAUCCUCCUCCAAGAAAUCCAUGGAGCUAAGAAGUAAGGAAUGAAGGCCCUCUCUCUUAGGUGAUUAGCCUUUGCUAAUGCAAAGAGGAAUCAACAAAGGUAUAAGAUUUCUCAACUCACGUUAUUUUUUAGUUGAGUCUUGGUUCACCACACUCACUAGGCCUUGAAUUUCAUGGGUAAAGUUUUGUUUUUGAGUGCAUACAAGCGUGAUUCCGUCUUUUAAUUGUUAAUUGCAUGCAUAGAUGUUGCUCAAAUGAACUAGUUUUCACAAAUAAUUCCUUCAAGGCUUUCGCAAUGGAGGAGGAUGAGGAUGAUGAACAUAGAAGGCAGAAGGCCUCACAUUUUUGCCUUGUCAUGGAAGUUGUGGGUCAAAUAUCCAAAUCCAGACGUGCUGCAAACUUGGAUAGAAAGAGGAAAAAACGAGGUAAAGGUCUCUUGGAAGAUUAUUUUAUCCUCAAUUUUGUAUUCCAUGAUCAUGUUUUUAGACGUCGUUUUAGAAUGCAAUGAAGUUU
rnacentral:lncRNA from 1 species